AGAGGGACAGCUAGGUCAAAUGGUGGUUCCAUUCCCAGAUUUCCAAGGAAUCUCCAUACUGCUUUCCAUAUUGGCUGCACCAAUUUGCAGUCCCACCAGCAGU
rnacentral:pre_miRNA from 1 species